ACUACUGCUACAGCUGACAUCAACAGUCUGACGUAAGAGACCCCGGACAGAGCUGCCUACCUCCAGCGAAUCUACCCCGAAUGGACCGGGUAGACCGAGGAGCCUUUAUCUCAACACACCACUUUAACCCUGCCUCUCUCCUAAUAUUGAUGACAUUAAAUUCGAUAUUGUUGGAGCUAAAACAGCUGUGUCAAGUGGAGGGUCUGCUGAGAAACGAGCAUUCAAUGGAGGUCCAUCCGAGGGAGGCAGUGGUAACGAUUUAAAAGCUUUGGAGAUGAAAGAGAUGGAACUGAAUUAACUGGCACCAUUAUUCUUGUUGUUCCUAUCGCUAUGAAGAAAUGUUCAAGGAAACAUGAAAAUCCUGCAGACUUUCAGCCAAACAUUUAAGAAACUUCCUCUAAUAUUCCUUCCCAGUUCUUGCAGUAAUCUGGAAGAUUCCAGAUGUUGUCUACCUGGAAACUUUUAAACUUAAUUUCCAUGAAAAUUCCAUUUGUUGAUGGCGGAACAUUCUGGAUGUUUCCAGUUUGAUGUUGAAAUAAAAAGAACAACCUUCAUCAAUAAAAUCUAAAUUCUAAUGUC
rnacentral:misc_RNA from 1 species